rnacentral:lncRNA from 10 species
AGUGUGCACCUGUGUGAGUGUGAUUGUGAGUGUGACAGUGAGUGUGUGAUUUAGAAAGGGGAGUCAUGAGCAUGAACGGGAGCGAGUCCCACCCUCUGUGGCCCUGUCCCCGCAUCCUUGUAUCCUUGAAGCCCAUCACCAGUGCUUGCUUAGGACAUCACAGUGCAGGGGUCCUGGGACCUGAGCAUCUGGAAGGCCCAGCACCCUCAGUGUCUGCCUAAGUCUGCUGUCAACAACAAUCAGAAGAAAGGGAACACGUGAAACAUCCAAAGUUCAGAGAUGGAGCAACAGGAACCAUGAACAGGAAGGAGACGCACACGGUGAGGAACGCUGCGGCUUAGGGAGAGGAGAAGAGCACAGAGACGAGUUACGAGGAACACGCACGAGGCCCCGUCCCAGAGACAUGGGACCAGUUUACAAGAUGACAGCGGGAGGGAAACACAUGCGAGGCCUGUCCACAUCUGAGAGACACGGGACCGAUUUACGGGAUCACAGAGGGAGGGAAACACACUUGAGGCCUGUCCACGUCUGAGAGACAUGGGACCGAUUUACGGGAUCACAGGAGGAGAAAAACACACACGAGGCCUGUCCACAUCUGAGAGACACAGGACUGAUUUACGGGAUCAGAGAGGGAGAGAAACACACUUGAGGCCUGUCCACGUCUGAGAGACACGGGACCAAUUUACGGGAUCACAGGGGGAGAAAAACAC